UACGAAGGUCCCAAGCGUUAUCCGGAUUUAUUGGGUUUAAAGGGUGCGUAGGCGGCUUAUUAAGUCAGUGGUGAAAGCCCCAAGCUUAACUUGGGAACUGCCAUUGAUACUGAUGAGCUUGAGUAGAUUUGAGGCGGGCGGAAUGUGUCGUGUAGCGGUGAAAUGCUUAGAUAUCGGGAGGAACACCUGUGGCGAAAGCGGCAUACUGGACCAUAACUGACGCUGAGGCGCGAAAGCUAGGGGAGCAAACAGG
rnacentral:rRNA from 1 species